ACUCUCGGCAACGGAUAUCUCGGCUCUCGCAUCGAUAAAGAACGUAGCGAAAUGCGAUACUUGGUGUGAAUUGCAGAAUCCCGUGAACCAUCGAGUCUUUGAACGCAAGUUGCGCCCGAAGCCUUCUGGCUGAGGGCACGCCUGCCUGGGCGUCACGCAUCGC
rnacentral:rRNA from 1 species